rnacentral:tRNA from 1 species
CGCGGGGUGGAGCAGCCUGGUAGCUCGUCGGGCUCAUAACCCGAAGGUCGGAGGUUCAAAUCCUCCCCCCGCAA